rnacentral:misc_RNA from 1 species
UCGCAUCUUCUCCUUCUUAAACCUUGCUGAAAUUGUUAAAUAUGUUUCCUCAUCAAUAUAAAACCCUUGUUCCUUCAUUUUCCUUAACGUAAUCCAAAAAUUCUUCAUAGAAUCCUUGUUCACCAAUAUUCGAAGCAUUAUGCUAUACAACGGCGAACUGGGUUUAAAUCCGUUUCUCUCACACGCCCAAUUAAAGAAACCCCACGCCCUAUCAGGGUUUUUAUCUAGCUUCUUCAAAGCAUAAAUAACUGUUUCAUGGGUCAAUGUGGGGUUGGAGUUUUGUAACUCGUUCUCCAACUCAGUUGACCAAUCAUUGGCCAACAAGAGUUCCAUAAGGGAGCUUGGUUUUGACGAGAAGUAAACCUUUUGAUGGCUAUUGAGAUAACAAAAAGAAUGGGACUGCUCCAUGAGAAAAUAGGAGGAAAGGGGAGAAAAGUGUGCCACCUGAGUUAAAAGCGGCCGAGUAGUGAAAAGCCGAGACGAGAGGAGAGAAUUGGAGAGUCUAAGGGAUACAAGGAUUAUCCUUGCUCGAUUCAUGGCU